rnacentral:rRNA from 1 species
CUGACGCUGAGGCUCGAAAGUGCGGGUAUCAAACAGGAUUAGAUACCCUGGUAGUCCGCACAGUAAACGAUGAAUACUCGCUGUCGGCGAUACACGGUCGGCGGCCAAGCGAAAGCAUUAAGUAUUCCACCUGGGGAGUACGCCGGCAACGGUGAAACUCAAAGGAAUUGACGGGGGCCCGCACAAGCGGAGGAACAUGUGGUUUAAUUCGAUGAUACGCGAGGAACCUUACCCGGGCUUGAACUGCACCCGACGGACGGAGAGAUCCGUCUUCCGCAAGGCGGGUGUGGAGGUGCUGCAUGGUUGUCGUCAGCUCGUGCCGUGAGGUGUCGGCUUAAGUGCCAUAACGAGCGCAACCCUUCUCUUCAGUUGCCAUCAGGUAGAGCUGGGCACUCUGGAGACACUGCCAUCGUAAGAUGCGAGGAAGGUGGGGAUGACGUCAAAUCAGCACGGCCCUUACGUCCGGGGCUACACACGUGUUACAAUGGGAGGUACAGAAGGCCGCGACCCGGCGACGGGAAGCCAAUCCCCAAAUCCUCUCUCAGUUCGGACUGGAGUCUGCAACCCGACUCCACGAAGCUGGAUUCGCUAGUAAUCGCG